rnacentral:tRNA from 1 species
GCCAGCGUGGCAUAGUGGUUUGAAUGUUGGACUAUGACUCUGGAGACCAGAGUUCGAUUCCCAGCUUGUUCA